rnacentral:tRNA from 1 species
AGGUGUGUAGCAUAAAUGGCUUUGCAAUGGUCUCCAAAACCAUAAGAUACAGGUUCGAAUCCUGUCACACCUG